AAAUCCUCAAAUCUGCGGUGUUGUUAGAUUAAAUUCGGACAACGUUGCAGAUUUGGAUAGUUGGACCUCUUGAUCGUUCGGUCAAAGGUCUAAAAUCAAGUGUUCGGAGCUGUUUUCCUCGAGAUUGCUGGUCUCCAGAUGAAUGAACUGUGUUUAAAACCACGGAUUUAAGGCGUCUGUAGAUGUGAUUUCGUUGUGGGAACGGUUUUUUCCGAUUAGCAUUUGCCAAACACAUGUUGUUUUGCAAAACAUCAGAUGUGGGUGUUGCAUCCAUUUCUGAAC
rnacentral:misc_RNA from 1 species